rnacentral:rRNA from 1 species
UACGUAGGGUGCGAGCGUUGUCCGGAAUUAUUGGGCGUAAAGGGCUCGUAGGCGGUUUGUCGCGUCGGGAGUGAAAACUCAGGGCUUAACCCUGAGCCUGCUCCCGAUACGGGCAGACUAGAGGUAUGCAGGGGAGAACGGAAUUCCUGGUGUAGCGGUGAAAUGCGCAGAUAUCAGGAGGAACACCGGUGGCGAAGGCGGUUCUCUGGGCAUUACCUGACGCUGAGACGCGAAAGCGUGGGGAGCGAACCGG